rnacentral:rRNA from 1 species
AUGGUCCAAAUACUGUCCCUGAUCCACAACCGAGAUGGGAGCCUGAGUAGCAUGCCCUACAUACCAGCAGACGUCAAAAACCUAAAGGCAAAGUACCGUAGAGAGAGCAGGUUGGCUGACAUAGAAGACACAAUAGCCUACUUCGAAGAGAAAGCAAAAGCAGAUAAUGAUUUCUUCUACAGGAUAAGGUUGGACGAUGAGGACCGUGUCAGAAACAUGUAUUGGGUGGAUGUGCACAGGCACUACAGGUGGCAUAUUAUUAAGAAGGCUGAAGAGAUGCUUGGACCAUUCUUCGCUGACCGUCCAGAGCUACACAAGGCAUUCGAGUUGUGUGUGGACCACAGCUUGACGGUGGAGGAGUUUGAACGGAUCUGGAUGACUAUGAUUGAAACAUACCAAGUCCAAGACAACAAGACACUAAAUAGCUUGUGGGAGAAGCGAAUAUUCCAGGAAGAAAUAAAGCGGGCUAGCAUGUACACAGCUUACCAGGUUGACGAACAAACCUUCAAGGUGUGUACUCUCAUGGGCAUGUCCGAUUCAGAACCUGAAGACCCGGACAAGGGACAAAACUACUUUGUCAAGGCCUCAAUAACCGAAGUAAUGGACAUGCACGCGGUCACGCGAUUGCCCCGCCAUUUCAUACGAUGGUGGUGGACUUGGGACACUGACGAUGCAUUGGGGCCACAAACAUCAGCUGCAGUUUUGGCUGUACAUGAUGACAGACCAGAGGCAACCAUGGAGUCCGUGAGGCAUGUUGUAUUGACAAAAAACUAUGCUGAGCUAAUAGAUGAAGCAUGCAAGAGUGAUGAGACAGCCAGGGUGGCAAAAAAGCACAGGAGGGCCCUGAAAAGAGAGCAUGAUGAGAUCAAGAAGAUGAAGGAUGAAGAAGCCUUGCAUCGGUUCCCCACACCUCAAGUGUGCCUUCGUCCACGAGUCCAUCCUCUGAAAACUCGGAGGUAG